ACUACGGGUGGCAGCAGUGGGGAAUAUUGCACAAUGGGGGAAACCCUGAUGCAGCGACGCCGCGUGAGCGAAGAAGUAUUUCGGUAUGUAAAGCUCUAUCAGCAGGGAAGAAAAUGACGGUACCUGAGUAAGAAGCUCCGGCUAAAUACGUGCCAGCAGCCGCGGUAAUACGUAUGGAGCAAGCGUUAUCCGGAUUUACUGGGCGUAAAGGGAGCGUAGGCGGCCUGCCAAGUCUGAUGUGAAAUACCGGGGCUCAACCCCGGGGCUGCAUUGGAAACUGGCAGGCUGGAGUGCCGGAGAGGCAGGCGGAAUUCCGAGGGUAGCGGUGAAAUGCGUAGAUAGUAGGAGGAACACCGGCGGCGAAGGCGGCUUACUGGACUGUAACUGACGUUGAGGCUCGAAGGCGUGGGGAGCAAACAGGAUUAGAUACCCCAGUAGUC
rnacentral:rRNA from 1 species